UAAGUCGAACGAAGCACUUUAUUUGAUUUCUUCGGAAUGAAGAUUUUGUGACUGAGUGGCGGACGGGUGAGUAACCCGUGGGUAACCUGCCUCAUACAGGGGGAUAACAGUUGGAAACGACUGCUAAUACCGCAUAAGCGCACAGGGUCGCAUGACCUGGUGUGAAAAACUCCGGUGGUAUGAGAUGGACCCGCGUCUGAUUAGCCAGUUGGUGGGGUAACGGCCCACCAAAGCGACGAUCAGUAGCCGACCUGAGAGGGUGACCGGCCACAUUGGGACUGAGACACGGCCCAAACUCCUACGGGAGGCAGCAGUGGGGAAUAUUGCACAAUGGGGGAAACCCUGAUGCAGCGACGCCGCGUGAGCGAAGAAGUAUUUCGGUAUGUAAAGCUCUAUCAGCAGGGAAGAAGAAAUGACGGUACCUGACUAAGAAGCACCGGCUAAAUACGUGCCAGCAGCCGCGGUAAUACGUAUGGUGCAAGCGUUAUCCGGAUUUACUGGGUGUAAAGGGAGCGCAGGCGGUACGGCAAGUCUGAUGUGAAAGCCCGGGGCUCAACCCCGGAACUGCAUUGGAAACUGUCUUACUAGAGUGCAGGAGAGGUAAGCGGAAUUCCUAGUGUAGCGGUGAAAUGCGUAGAUAUUAGGAGGAACACCAGUGGCGAAGGCGG
rnacentral:rRNA from 1 species